GAGGAAAGCAGGGGGCGUGCCUAAUACAUGCAAGUCGAGCGAACAGACGAGGAGCUUGCUCCUCUGACGUUAGCGGCGGACGGGUGAGUAACACGUGGAUAACCUACCUAUAAGACUGGGAUAACUUCGGGAAACCGGAGCUAAUACCGGAUAAUAUAUUGAACCGCAUGGUUCAAUAGUGAAAGACGGUUUUGCUGUCACUUAUAGAUGGAUCCGCGCCGCAUUAGCUAGUUGGUAAGGUAACGGCUUACCAAGGCAACGAUGCGUAGCCGACCUGAGAGGGUGAUCGGCCACACUGGAACUGAGACACGGUCCAGACUCCUACGGGAGGCAGCAGUAGGGAAUCUUCCGCAAUGGGCGAAAGCCUGACGGAGCAACGCCGCGUGAGUGAUGAAGGUCUUCGGAUCGUAAAACUCUGUUAUUAGGGAAGAACAAAUGUGUAAGUAACUAUGCACGUCUUGACGGUACCUAAUCAGAAAGCCACGGCUAACUACGUG
rnacentral:rRNA from 1 species